AGGCGGUUCGUCUAAACAAGACAAUUGAUUUCGACUCAAUAAAUUUUGGUUAAACCCCAAAACAACCUU
rnacentral:tRNA from 1 species